UACGUAGGGACCAAGCGUUGUUCGGAUUUACUGGGCGUAAAGGGCGCGUAGGCGGCAUAUUAAGUCAGCUGUGAAAUCUCCGAGCUUAACUCGGAACUGUCAGCUGAUACUGAUGUGCUAGAGUGCAGAAAGGGCAAUCAGAAUUCUUGGUGUAGCGGUGAAAUGCGUAGAUAUCAAGAGGAAUACCUGAGGCGAAGGCGGGUUGCUAGGCUGACACUGACGCUGAGGCGCGAAGCCAGGGAGCAAACGGG
rnacentral:rRNA from 1 species